rnacentral:rRNA from 1 species
ACACAUGCAAGUCGAGGGGCAGCAUGAUUUGUAGCAAUACAGAUUGAUGGCGACCGGCGCACGGGUGAGUAACGCGUAUGCAACUUACCUAUCAGAGGGGGAUAGCCCGGCGAAAGUCGGAUUAAUACCCCAUAAAACAGGGGUCCCGCAUGGGAAUAUUUGUUAAAGAUUCAUCGCUGAUAGAUAGGCAUGCGUUCCAUUAGGCAGUUGGCGGGGUAACGGCCCACCAAACCGACGAUGGAUAGGGGUUCUGAGAGGAAGGUCCCCCACAUUGGUACUGAGACACGGACCAAACUCCUACGGGAGGCAGCAGUGAGGAAUAUUGGUCAAUGGCCGAGAGGCUGAACCAGCCAAGUCGCGUGAAGGAAGAAGGAUCUAUGGUUUGUAAACUUCUUUUAUAGGGGAAUAAAGUGGAGGACGUGUCCUUUUUUGUAUGUACCCUAUGAAUAAGCAUCGGCUAACUCCGUGCCAGCAGCCGCGGUAAUACGGAGGAUGCGAGCGUUAUCCGGAUUUAUUGGGUUUAAAGGGUGCGUAGGUGGUGAUUUAAGUCAGCGGUGAAAGUUUGUGGCUCAACCAUAAAAUUGCCGUUGAAACUGGGUUACUUGAGUGUGUUUGAGGUAGGCGGAAUGCGUGGUGUAGCGGUGAAAUGCAUAGAUAUCACGCAGAACUCCGAUUGCGAAGGCAGCUUACUAAACCAUAACUGACACUGAAGCACGAAAGCGUGGGGAUCAAACAGGAUUAGAUACCCUGGUAGUCCACGCAGUAAACGAUGAUUACUAGGAGUUUGCGAUACAAUGUAAGCUCUACAGCG